rnacentral:misc_RNA from 1 species
UUCGUUUUUUAUUAAAAACUAGGAUGAAAGGUUAUACAUUCAAAUUUCUUUAUUAAUUUCUAAUUAAUAAUUUAUAUUAAAUAUAAAAAUAUACUUAUAAAAAAAAAAGACGACAAGACCCUAUUAAAUUUUACUUAUAGUUUAACUGGGGAAGUUUUUUAAUUAAAAUUUUUUAAAUUUAAUAAAUAAAAAUCUAAUAAAAUUAAAACUUUAACAAAUUACUAUAGGGAUAACAGCAUUAUAUUUUUUAAAAGUUCAUAUUAAAAAAAAUGAUUGUGACCUCGAUGUUGAAUUAUAUUUUCUAUAUUUAAUGCAAUAAUUAUAAAAGUAGAUCUGUUCGAUCUUUAAAAUAUUACAUGAUUUGAGUUCAAACCGGUGUAAACCAGGUUGGUUUCUAUCUUUUUAUAUAUUUUUCCAGUACGAAAGGACAAACAAAUUUUUAUUUUAAUAAAUUAGCAAAUAAAUGCAUUAGAUUUAGAAUCUAAAUAUAUUUAAUAAU